UCGUCAGGCUCAGUCCCCUCCCGAUAAACCCUUAAAUAGGAACCUUGCCGGGGCGGUGGCCCCGGCUU
rfam:Myotis davidii contig69046, whole genome shotgun sequence.